CAAAGAGGAGCACUGUGUGUGCACCAAUGGCCAGCUUCAUUGCCAUUCAUGGGGAAGCCGCCUAUUAACAUGUCCACACCCCAAAGAAUACUUCAACUGCUCCAGUGCAAAAGCUGGGCUGCAGGGAGCACAGUGUGGUCUAAGUUGUAGAAAUCUGGACAGUGACGAAUGCUACUCUACAGAGUGUGAAUCUGGCUGUCGG